CCUACGGGAGGCUGCAGUGGGGAAUAUUGGACAAUGGGGGGAACCCUGAUCCAGCCAUGCCGCGUGUGUGAAGAAGGCCCUCGGGUUGUAAAGCACUUUCAGUGAGGAAGAACGCCUGGUGGUUAAUACCCAUCAGGAAAGACAUCACUCACAGAAGAAGCACCGGCUAACUCCGUGCCAGCAGCCGCGGUAAUACGGAGGGUGCGAGCGUUAAUCGGAAUUACUGGGCGUAAAGCGCGCGUAGGUGGCUUGAUAAGCCGGUUGUGAAAGCCCCGGGCUCAACCUGGGAACGGCAUCCGGAACUGUCAAGCUAGAGUGCAGGAGAGGAAGGUAGAAUUCCCGGUGUAGCGGUGAAGUGCGUAGAGAUCGGGAGGAAUACCAGUGGCGAAGGCGGCCUUCUGGACUGACACUGACACUGAGGUGCGAAAGCGUGGGUAGCAAACAGGAUUAGAUACCCCAGUAGUC
rnacentral:rRNA from 1 species